rnacentral:lncRNA from 1 species
GUACAUUUUGUCAGGAAAUGCAGCUCCGUCUCAGGUUCUGCUGUUGUGCAGUGGUUGCACAGCCUUUCCUCUACAGGGAGCCAGGUUUUCCUGUGUCUACCCUUCUCAAUGCCAAGGCUAUGCUCACUGAGCCUGUACUUUGUCAAGGUUUUUCUAAGGUUUUGAUCAGUAACCAUGGUCAAAUAUUUAGCCACGGUGUACUGUCGAUUUAGGGCCAGAUAGCACUGCAUUUGGCUUUCUGCUUGUGUUUCCAGUAAGCAAUGUAGUUUUGACUGUGUUGUAAUUUGGGUUAUUCUGAUUGAUUGGAUGUUCUGGUCCUGAGGCUUCAGUGUGUUAGUAGAACAGGUUAGUGAACUCAGCCCCAGGACCAGCUGGAUGAGGGUCCUGAGGCUUGUGUGUUAGUAGAACAGGUUAGUGAACUCAGCCCUAGGACCAGCUGGAUGAGGGUCCUGAGGCUUCAGUGUGUUAGUAGAACAGGUUAGUGAACUCAGCCCCAGGACCAGCUGGAUGAGGGUCCUGAGGCUUGUGUGUUAGUAGAACAGGUUAGUGAACUCAGCCCUAGGACCAGCUGGAUGAGGGUCCUGAGGCUUCAGUGUGUUAGUAGAACAGGUUAGUGAACUCAGUCCCAGGACCAGCUGGAUGAGGGUCCUGAGGCUUCAGUGUGUUAGUAGAACAGGUUAGUGAACUCAGCCCCAUGACCAGCUGGAUGAGGGUCCUGAGGCUUGUGUGUUAGUAGAACAGGUCUGUGAACACAGCCCCAGGACCAGCUGGAUGAGGGUCCUGAGGCUUGUGUGUUAGUAGAACAGGUUAGUGAACUCAGCCCCAGGACCAGCUGGAUGAGGGUCCUGAGGCUUCAGUGUGUUAGUAGAACAGGUUAGUGAAC